rnacentral:lncRNA from 13 species
CAGUUUCUUCUUGCAGAAACCACAGAACAGAGUCUUGCUCAUAGUCCUUGCUCUCCUUCUGCCUUCUCCUGACUGGCUUUGGUGCUUCCCAUUUGCCCUAUACUACCUCUCACUCCCCCAUUUUGGUGGCAUACCAUGUCCUCCUGGGAACUUAUUGCCUUUGAAGAUAUGUAAGAAUUGUUGCUAACAAAUGACUGAUUCGGGACCUGAACAAUGAAAGCCAGAGAAUGAAUGACAUAUCUGAGCAAGUCACGCUGAUCAGGUACAGUUAUUUGGUUUUCUUUUGAUCACUGUUAUGUGUAAUUA